AGGCCUCGUUGUUUUGCACCUGUGAAUGAAACCAAGCUCAGCUUUGUUUUGUAAGAAGAGUCAGUGUCCACACAGACAGAGAAGCCCUGAGGGAAACAAGGCACCCUCAUGUGCUGAGGAACAGGCUGAACUUGGGCGUGCCUGUCUCAGGCCUGCUGCCCAGAAAGUCCGCCCUAAAGAAAAACCAGCCAAAGCCAGUGAAGACCUCAUUUCUCCACAAACAUCUGGAAAGAUAAGGAAGUGGCUGAAUGUCUUGAGUGACUUCUCAUCGCCUCCCUGGCAGCAGCUGGGCAGGAGUGGGGUUUCCUGAGUGGCUGCUUUUGCUAACACUCCAAGUCCUCGGGGUGGAGGGUCGGGAUGGCCCCACAGAAAGAAAGCCAGGACCUUCCGGAAACUCUCCUCUUACCAUUGACAGAAAUGCCAUGAGGAGGGGAGAGAUAAUGAGAGGCCCGGGACUGAAUCACAAGGAAGUCAGCUCUGGAUUCAGCAACCAAGAAAGGCCAUCAUUUGCACUGUCCCCAGCACAAUCACCUACCAAGAAAGGUCCAGCCCUUCAGAGAAGUAGAAAAUGGGAUUCCUGUGCCACACGCUUGCUGGAGCCUGCUCUCACUCAAUUUAAAAUGAUCUUCGCUUUCACAACUUGUAUCUGGUGUCUCACUCAGACAUAUCUCACCUAGAGAUACAAGAUGGGCCCUCGGAGUGUUCCUUUUCCAGUACCAGGAGCGUCUCAACUCAGCGUGAAGAUCAGCAUUCACGUAGCUAGCCUUUUUCAAACUACUGAGUGAAAUUACUCAUGCUCUCUGCCUAAU